CAAGAACAUACACACACAGUGAACAAAAAAGCCUCCCCCGCCUCCGCCCACCCCAACCCAUCGCGCCCCUCCUCCAACUUCCUUCGCCAACUUCUCCGUCGCCGCCGCCUGAACCGACCCCGACACCACCUCCUACCCAAGAUGCCUCCUCGCCUCGAUCCAUUCCUCCGACCCUAACCACCUCCUACCCCCGCGCUACACCCCCUCCACGUCUUCCUUCCUCGUCGGUCAGAGCAAUAGCGGCGCCCCCGCCGCCAGAUCCGACGCGCGCUGAUGAGAAGCUUCGGAUCCCGCGCUCGCCAGAGGGCUGAUCCUCCUCCCCAGCAGCUCCCUCCGCGUCAGUACCCACCGUCAUCGUGCCGUCCCUGCUACCUCCCUUCCCCGCACCACCGGAUUCAUCUCUCCAUGGCGACGUCCGAUCCAGCCAGGCCCGAGGGAGGAGAGCAUCCAGCUCUCUUCCUCCUCCCUGGACGCCCCGCCUCCUCCGGUGCAGACCAGCCACCCCAGAUCCCGACCCUUGCCGCCACCACCUCCGCUCUACACCGUGGGUGGAUCUGGGCGGCCACUGCCGGCGUCGCGCCCCUGGCUUCCCCACCGGACUCCCCUCUUCCUUCCUCUAGACUGCACAGUAUGCAGUGCGGGCGACUGUGGUGUGUAGUGCAGCUCGACACGGCGUGCAGCUUGCCCCUCGCCCCUGCGUGCGGCGACCUCAUGGGCGGGCAGUCCGACGAGUUCGCGUCAUCAGGGUGGAGACGUUGAUGGAGGAUGGUGGACUGCAAAGGCCAUCGAGCCUAGGGCCGCCACCGUGAGGAGUGAUUCCUCUGGAGUGGGCGGCAGCGAUCACCCACCGCAUCACCGGCCUCUAUACAGCUCGGCUGCCGCUCCCCAUGCAGCUCGAGUGCUGCCUUCUCUCCUUUUCGCUUGCCAUGCCGUUUGGGGAUGAAAGGAGCGGCGGUGAAGGAGCACCCUCAUGGUAGGGGCAGAAGGGGACAGGUGCAGUACACCCCACCGAAGGAGCGCGACCGAGCUCCCUCGCCCGAUGCCGGCGAUUUGGCUUCCUCGCGCAGUUCAAUAGGGCCACCAAUGGCCUUCCCGCAACGACCAGCUGCAGGUGCCAUGCGGUUUGGCCAGCGGCGACGGCCACCACUUUGCUCUCCCCCUUAUCCACAUGCGUUCAUUCACACAGCAGUCCAGCGGCUCCAGCGGCUCCACCGGCGGCAUGUGCAGUUCACUCCAUGCAAGAUGAGGUGCUCCUCCUCGAUGGCCCAAGAGUUCAGAAAAAGGAUUGUGCCUCAUAGUAUGCGGGUGUUGUGGUCGUGCAGCUCAGAGAUGCUCGUGAUGCUGUUCGGAGCUUGUGCGCUUGCAGUAGGCGAGCGCCGUAUCUUCCCAUUGGUCAGUGUACCAUGGCCGUGCCGCUCGGAGAUGCUCACCAUGUGGUUCGAGGCUUGUGUGAGUGCAGUCGAGAGAGCGCCAUCUCCAUCUCUUCCCCUGUGGCCCGUCGACCAUGGUUGUGUAGCUCGGAGACACUCGCCAUGCGGUUUAGGGCUCAUGCGUGUGCAUGACGGCGAGGGCCAUCUCUUCCGCUGCAGUCCUUCGACCAUGCCAUGCAGUUUGGAAACUCUCGCAUGCGGUUGAGGGCUCGUCCGCGUGCAGUCUGAUGGGCAUCCGUGCAUGUCAAGUGCAGCGAGCGCCCGUGCACAACAGCACUCUACCACAACAUUCAGAAAAACAGGAUUCCCCUAGUAUGGAAAAUGGAUAGCUCUGAAUCUACUCCUCACAAUCGUUAUAUGCUGCUCUGAACUUGUGUGUGUUGUUAUGCUUGUCUUUAGCCCGGCUCUACAACAGUUGCAUGUUCCCCCUAGGCUGCAUGUGUUCCUCUUGCUGUAGCUGGUAGUAGCUCACCAUAAUUUUUUGAAAAAACGUGACAAUCUUGUAAAAGAAAAAUAUCUCUGACGCUUUGUGUUUGUUGUGCUCUAGACAAGAACGUUGCACAUUUAUUAUGCAGAUGUGAGAUUUCUAGAAUAAUCUAGGAUAAACUAUCUGAUAUGCUUCAAAGAAGAGUAGAAGGAAAAAUUGAACAAGGUUGCUGCUGAAGCUUUUGCAUUAUGGACUGAGAGGAGCUGUUAAAUAUUUUCCUUUCUUUUUGCCUUUUGGCAAUUCGCCUAUUUUUGCUCUGGAGUUAUCUUAAAAUUUUCCCUGCGAUUGAGAAAAAGCUUUUGAAGUUCACUAGCAAUAUGAGCUACCGUGUGCUUGCAGUACGUCCAGAGAGCGCGUGUGGUUCGGCGGGGCCGGCAGCGCAUUAUGUCAUCGCGUGCAGUGCACUUAAAAAUGUGCAGUUGGUUGUAUAUUUUGUGUGUGAUAAUUGUAACAUGGAGACAAAAGAAAAGAAAGGGAUGCAAUUUUGU